UUCUCAAAAAAUCGCGUUUAUUCAACAUUGAGUAAAAGUACGCAAAUAAUCACUGUAAAAACGUUGCAAAGUUUAAGGUUUAUCAACGUUAGAUAUAAACUGCUUUUUAAGCUAUUACAAAACAACGUUUAUUCAAUGUUACAUAUACCAACGUGGUAAUAAAAAAAAACGUGGAAAAAGUGUUACUUUGCCAACGUUAAUAAAUCGUUGUUUUAACAACGUUGAGGAAGUAGCACAUUGACAAUUAUUGUCUCAUUAACUAGCCAUUACAAAUAUAAUUUGCCGUUAUAGAAAGGCAUGGAAAACUUAAUAGAAUGCAUGCAGAUGGUAACCUUUUUAAUGGCUUUACAAUCUUGGGUUUUAGUUGUUUAUUUUGAAAACGAGAUUGAAGCAGAGGCAGUUGUUCCAUCUUGUUGGGUAAAAGAUGGUUGGUUAUUUUGGCCAACUGCUGUUCAUCCAAUGAGAGCUGCCUAUAAUAAGUUUCCAGUUGAUGACUCCUGGAACAAGCUUAGAGUUAAAAAAAUUAAAGUAACUGGAGGUCAUUAAGUUUUGCUGUAUUCAUUGCUAUUUUAAUUUUUUUAUAUGAAUAAAAAUACUAUUAUAGUUUUAUAUGAAGUACAAUAUCAAAUAAACUUUUCUCUUUCUAUAUUUGGAUAAGUAAUAUUUUGAAUCUGUUUUUAUUAUUUUUGCUUAGAUAUAAAUUAUAAUCUCUUUACACUUAUUUUACAUUUUAGUUUUUUGCAUUAUUGUUUAUAUUUGUUUUACUAAAUAAUUACUAAUAGAUAAAGUAGUAUGUGAAGGGUUUAAUUUCACAACUACAGAGGACUCUGAAGAAGAAUGUGAGUAAUUAUGUUUGGAAAUAAUUGUGUUUUUCUUCAGAUUAGACUUUUUUUUGUUUUAUAAAUGAUAAAGAAUAAAUAAAAAAAGGAACUGUAUGUAUUUUGAAAAAUAAAUAUGUAUUCAUGUUUUAUCUUAAAGCAUGUAUAUUAAACACUCGAGAAAAUCGUUCAAGAUCACUAGUUUAUCCUGAUGUAACAAAAUCAACAAGAGAUCGUUCACGCUCCCCGAUUGUUCAAUCAGAGAUAGUCAACUUUGAAAUUAAUAAUUCAAAAUCACCUAAAUUACCUCUUCAUCCUAAAAACAUAAAGAAUUCUAAAAGUUCUGAUUAUGUUCACAAAAAAAAUUGGAUUCAUCAAAUUCAUCUUCUCCAGCUUUUUUGGCCGGAACUUCUAAACAGUCAAUUAGUGCGUCUUCUCAGUUUCCUUUAAGUACUGAAAAAUUUAAGAAAAAGGUUUUUAAACAACUUUAAGAAAUUAAAAAUAUGGUAAAGGAUCUUCAAAAUGUUUCUUCAGUUGUAUCCGAAGAUCUGCAAAUAAAUGCAUUAAAUUCAAUAGAACAACUUAUGGAGGUAGAUGCUACCUUGAAUGACAGUGUCAUUUUUUCUAAAUGGGUAUCGCAGAUAGCGAAAAUUGGUGGAGUCAACUUAAAAGAUAAUGUAAAACGUGUUAUUGAGCGGCUGUUAACAAUUGAGUUGCGCUGUUUGUUAAACAUGAAGGAGCAAACUAAUUCCACAAACAAAACUAAACAAAAGUUGGCUUUUUCAAAGACAAAAUUGUAUCGUGUUUUAGUUGAUGAGAACUUAAAUGCCUACAUCUAUCCAGAACAUCAAUUAAAGCAAAGUCUUUUGAUAUCUGCUGGAGUAAAAUGCAUAAAUCAAUUUGCAUUGGACUACAUGCAUUUGGUAUGUUUCGGUGUGGUCAAACGAAUUUCGCUAUUUGUAACAAAAGAAGGACCAAGCAUUUGUAAAUUAUCUCAAAAGCAAAAAGAACAAAUCUCAUCAAACCUAGAACAAUUAAAAGGUACACUUUCAAGCGAGUUUGCAAGGUAACCAAGGACAUUAAAAAAUCUCCCUCAUUACAAAGCUACUGAGUUUAGGCAGUUAUUAUUAUUUACUGGUCCUUUAGUGCUGAAAUAUUUAUUUUCGAAGCUACAAUAUGAUCAUUUUAUGACACUUCAUGUUGCAAUAUCUAUUUUGAUUAAUUCAGAUGAUGAAGAUUCAUUAUCGUGUUUCCCUUUCGAAAAUCAUUUGCGAGUUUUAAAAAGUUUUAUACAUAACGCUAAAAAUCCAAUAUUGCAAGUUUUCAAACGAGUUUCUAAUUUAGAGAAAACAUUUAAAAAAUAUUCAAGUUAAUAUCAAUACACUGUUAUUUCUUCAAAAAAUGCAUUCUUGUUUUUUACUAAAUAAUGGCAAGUACGUUUUUAUAAAGGAAGAUAAGGGUUUAUGUUAUGUGUGUGAUGUUGUUGAAAAAGCUUGCUUAGACAAUUUCUUUACAAUACAAUGUGAAUCCAGUUUGUUAAACAUUUAUUUUUUCCGCUUUGAAAGACUUAGAUUAAAACGGCAAUUAGUGGAGAAGUCGAGAUUAAAACGAAAAGCCAUGAGUCUCAAAACUGAAAAAGGAUGCGUUUUAUUACCAUUACAUCAUGAUGUGAAAUGGCUUUUGUAAAUAUAUGAUACAUGUUUAAAAUACAUUAUUAUUUUUCAAAAA
rnacentral:misc_RNA from 1 species